rnacentral:rRNA from 1 species
UGGGGAAUAUUGCACAAUGGGCGCAAGCCUGAUGCAGCCAUGCCGCGUGUGUGAAGAAGGCCUUCGGGUUGUAAAGCACUUUCAGCGAGGAGGAAGGUGGUGAGCUUAAUACGCUCAUCAAUUGAUGUUACUCGCAGAAGAAGCACCGGCUAACUCCGUGCCAGCAGCCGCGGUAAUACGGAGGGUGCAAGCGUUAAUCGGAAUUACUGGGCGUAAAGCGCACGCAGGCGGUUUGUUAAGUCAGAUGUGAAAUCCCCGGGCUCAACCUGGGAACUGCAUUUGAAACUGGCAAGCUAGAGUCUCGUAGAGGGGGGUAGAAUUCCAGGUGUAGCGGUGAAAUGCGUAGAGAUCUGGAGGAAUACCGGUGGCGAAGGCGGCCCCCUGGACGAAGACUGACGCUCAGGUGCGAAAGCGUGGGGCAGCAAACAGGAUUAGAUACCCUGGUAGUCCACGCUGUAAACGAUGUCGAUUUGGAGGUUGUGCCCCUUGAGGCGUGGCUUCCGGAGCUAACGCGUUAAAUCGACCGCCUGGGGAGUACGGCCGCAAGGUUAAAACUUAAAUGAAUUG